ACCACAACACCAGGGCUGCAACAACAAAAGGUUGCCUCGCCGAGAAAUUGAGCAUUUCUCUUCGAGUCUGACUUUUCAGGGUCACUGAAUACAUAGUCAUAGCCUCGCCAGUCGCCAGACAGUCACUCACACAAAAACAAAAGAAAGAAAGCAGAUAUAUCGGUAUAAGGUCGUUGCCAACAUAAGAAACGUAAUCAGUAGUCACUGGCUCCGCUAACUAUCAGAGACAGAGAGGACGGAUUCAACCACCCUAAAACCAACCGCCUGUCACUGAGAGCAAAGCCUCGUACUUAAACCAUUCACACAGCAAUCUUAAGGUAAACAUAUUUCAUGCAAAAGCAAUUGCGAAAUUUUUUAUUUUAGAAAAAAAAA